rnacentral:lncRNA from 1 species
GAAAUCAUUAAAAUCCCUCAGGGUGGUGUCUGCUCCUCAUGACUAGCAGAAACCUUCACAAGACUAGCAGCAAUCUCGUGUAAAAAUGUGUUCUUGGUUGCAUGUGCUGCCGCCUUCACCAAAAUCGCAUUUAAUAAAGGAAAAAUCCAAAAUAAAUUUCUAAUUGGCUUGGGUCCUUGGAAGAAGGAAACAGUUUCAGCUGCUCUUCUCCAAUAUAUGUUAUAAUAGACCAUGGAAAACUCGUGGAUGACUUCAGAAAUAACUCCAAGAUACAUAGGAAAAAAAGAAAGAA